AUGCACCGAAGCUGCGGCAGCGACACUGUGUGUUGUUGGGUAGGGGAGCGUUCUGUAAGCCUGUGAAGGUGUACUGUAAGGUAUGCUGGAGGUAUCAGAAGUGCGAAUGCUGACAUAAGUAACGAUAAAGCGGGUGAAAAGCCCGCUCGCCGGAAGACCAAGGGUUCCUGUCCAACGUUAAUCGGGGCAGGGUGAGUCGACCCCUAAGGCGAGGCCGAAAGGCGUAGUCGAUGGGAAACAGGUUAAUAUUCCUGUACUUGGUGUUACUGCGAAGGGGGGACGGAGAAGGCUAUGUUGGCCGGGCGACGGUUGUCCCGGUUUAAGCGUGUAGGCUGGUUUUCCAGGCAAAUCCGGAAAAUCAAGGCUGAGGCGUGAUGACGAGGCACUACGGUGCUGAAGCAACAAAUGCCCUGCUUCCAGGAAAAGCCUCUAAGCAUCAGGUAACAUCAAAUCGUACCCCAAACCGACACAGGUGGUCAGGUAGAGAAUACCAAGGCGUUUGAGAGAACUCGGGUGAAGGAACUAGGCAAAAUGGUGCCGUAACUUCGGGAGAAGGCACGCUGAUAUGUAGGUGAAGUCCCUCGCGGAUGGAGCUGAAAUCAGUCGAAGAUACCAGCUGGCUGCAACUGUUUAUUAAAAACACAGCACUGUGCAAACACGAAAGUGGACGUAUACGGUGUGACGCCUGCCCGGUGCCGGAAGGUUAAUUGAUGGGGUCAGCGCAAGCGAAGCUCUUGAUCGAAGCCCCGGUAAACGGCGGCCGUAACUAUAACGGUCCUAAGGUAGCGAAAUUCCUUGUCGGGUAAGUUCCGACCUGCACGAAUGGCGUAAUGAUGGCCAGGCUGUCUCCACCCGAGACUCAGUGAAAUUGAACUCGCUGUGAAGAUGCAGUGUACCCGCGGCAAGACGGAAAGACCCCGUGAACCUUUACUAUAGCUUGACACUGAACAUUGAGCCUUGAUGUGUAGGAUAGGUGGGAGGCUUUGAAGUGUGGACGCCAGUCUGCAUGGAGCCGACCUUGAAAUACCACCCUUUAAUGUUUGAUGUUCUAACGUGGACCCGUGAUCCGGGUUGCGGACAGUGUCUGGUGGGUAGUUUGACUGGGGCGGUCUCCUCCUAAAGAGUAACGGAGGAGCACGAAGGUUGGCUAAUCCUGGUCGGACAUCAGGAGGUUAGUGCAAUGGCAUAAGCCAGCUUGACUGCGAGCGUGACGGCGCGAGCAGGUGCGAAAGCAGGUCAUAGUGAUCCGGUGGUUCUGAAUGGAAGGGCCAUCGCUCAACGGAUAAAAGGUACUCCGGGGAUAACAGGCUGAUACCGCCCAAGAGUUCAUAUCGACGGCGGUGUUUGGCACCUCGAUGUCGGCUCAUCACAUCCUGGGGCUGAAGUAGGUCCCAAGGGUAUGGCUGUUCGCCAUUUAAAGUGGUACGCGAGCUGGGUUUAGAACGUCGUGAGACAGUUCGGUCCCUAUCUGCCGUGGGCGCUGGAGAACUGAGGGGGGCUGCUCCUAGUACGAGAGGACCGGAGUGGACGCAUCACUGGUGUUCGGGUUGUCAUGCCAAUGGCACUGCCCGGUAGCUAAAUGCGGAAGAGAUAAGUGCUGAAAGCAUCUAAGCACGAAACUUGCCCCGAGAUGAGUUCUCCCUGACCCUUUAAGGGUCCUGAAGGAACGUUGAAGA
rnacentral:rRNA from 1 species